GACGAACGCUGGCGGCAGGCUUAACACAUGCAAGUUGAGGGGUAGAGGUUGCUUGCAACCUUGAGACCGGCGCACGGGUGCGUAACGCGUAUGCAACCUACCUUUUACAGAGGGAUAGCCCAGAGAAAUUUGGAUUAAUACCUCAUAGUAUAUAACCUUCGCAUGUUGGUUAUAUUAAAGUUUCAACGGUAAAAGAUGGGCAUGCGUCCUAUUAGCUAGAUGGUAAGGUAACGGCUUACCAUGGCAACGAUAGGUAGGGAUCCUGAGAGGGAGCUCCCCCACACUGGUACUGCGACACGGACAAGACUCCUACGGGAGGCAGCAGUGAGGAAUAUUGGACAAUGGGCGCAAGCCUGAUCCAGCCAUGCCGCGUGCAGGAAGAAGCAUCGAUGGUGUGUAAACUGCUUUUGUACAGGAAGAAACACCCCGACGUGUCGGGACUUGACGGUACUGUAAGAAUAAGGAUCGGCUAACUCCGUGCCAGCCGCCGCAGUAAAAC
rnacentral:rRNA from 1 species